AGAGUUUGAUCCUGGCUCAGAUUGAACGCUGGCGGCAUGCUUUACACAUGCAAGUCGAACGGCAGCACGGGGGCAACCCUGGUGGCGAGUGGCGAACGGGUGAGUAAUGCAUCGGAACGUAUCCUUGAGUGGGGGAUAACGCAGCGAAAGUUGUGCUAAUACCGCAUAAGCUCUGAGGAGGAAAGCGGGGGACCGAAAGGCCUCGCGCUGAAGGAGCGGCCGAUGUCCGAUUAGCUAGUUGGUGAGGUAAAGGCCUACCAAGGCUACGACGGGUCGCUGGUCUGAGAGGACGACCAGCCACACUGGCACUGAGAUACGGGCCAGACUCCUACGGGAGGCGAC
rnacentral:rRNA from 1 species